GACGAACGCUGGCGGCGUGCUUAACACAUGCAAGUCGAGCGGGGAUCCGGGACUUCGGUUCUGGAUUCUAGCGGCGGACGGGUGAGUAACGCGUGAACAAUCUGUCCCAGACAGGGGGAUAACAGAUGGAAACAUCUGCUAAUACCGCAUAAGACCACGACACCACAUGGUGAUGAGGUAAAAGAUUUAUCGGUCUGGGGUGAGUUCGCGUCCGAUUAGCUAGUUGGUGAGGUAACGGCCCACCAAGGCGACGAUCGGUAGCCGACCUGAGAGAGUGAUCGGCCACAUUGGAACUGAGACACGGUCCAAACUCCUACGGGAGGCAGCAGUGGGGAAUAUUGGGCAAUGGGCGCAAGCCUGACCCAGCAACGCCGCGUGAGGGAAGAAGGUUUUCGGAUUGUAAACCUCUGUCCUCAAGGACGAAGGAAGUGACGGUACUUGAGGAGGAAGCCCCGGCUAACUACGUGCCAGCCGCCGCGGUAACAC
rnacentral:rRNA from 1 species